UACGAAGGGAGCUAGCGUUGUUCGGAAUCACUGGGCGUAAAGCGCACGUAGGCGGAUGUGUCAGUCAGAGGUGAAAUCCCGGAGCUCAACUUCGGAACUGCCUUUGAUACAGCACGCCUUGAGUCCGAUAGAGGUGGGUGGAAUUCCUAGUGUAGAGGUGAAAUUCGUAGAUAUUAGGAAGAACACCGGUGGCGAAGGCGGCCCACUGGAUCGGUACUGACGCUGAGGUGCGAAAGCGUGGGGAGCAAACAGG
rnacentral:rRNA from 1 species